UUUCCCCAUUUCCCCUACCGUGCGGUUCCCUACUUCUCCCUCACCGAUCUCUCUUCCUUCUUCUCGAUCCUUCUCCUGUUCUCUCCCGAUCCAGCCGAGGAUCUCCCUUCCCCUUCCCAUUUUUCCUCCUGAGCCGAUUUCCCUCCUCAUACCUAGCACCGGCCUCUUCAUCUGCUCUUUCCCGAGCCGCAUCUAGGCGCCACCGCUACCUGAGGCGAACGGAGCAGCGCCUAUCCACUGCCGGCGCACCUGUGCCCUAGCACCCACCGUGAUUUCUUCAGCCUGAGCGCCACUAGGGAGUCACCUUCCAGAACAACGCCGGUGUGGCGCUGUCUUCCCCGUGCCCUGUCUUCCCCGUGCCCUAGCACCGGUGUAGAUCCAGCAACUCUUCUUGAGCAUGCCUUAAUGUGGAAUCCUUAACCCUAGUCUCACCUCUCGUGCCCUAGUUCGUCAGUGUCGGAAGCCGAGGACCCUUGCAAGAGCUGAGGCCUCUUUCCGAUCCAAGUCGCCAUCUUUGGUCUGGCGACGAUAGUAGGCCAUGAUUUCUGUCGGCGGUUAGAUCGGAGACAUUGCCAGCAAAGAUUGGCUGCUGAUCCUUAGAGUGGAAGGGACCGUCGGCACAGAAUUUGUUCCGGCGAUCCAGCUUCAGUGGUGAACUCCUUGGGUUGUAUUCCACCAGCUGUAACAAGAUUGUGAUUUGAGCAGCCACCCGUUUUCCGGCAGCCACCUUUUAGCGAUGAAUAGCCCUAUUGGGCAGCAACUCUUUGAUUCCAGCAGCGAGAACGAAUGAGAAUUGAGCCUUUGUAGCUUGGCCAGCAUUGUUCACUGGCGAUCCACAGCACCGGUCAUUCUAUUUUGGGUAGGGAAACUCUUUGACCGUGAGCCAUCGGCGACCAUCCUGGAUUUGGGUAAUUAGCUAAAUCUGGCUAUCAUAUAGUACAGGACUCUGGUUCGAGACGAGCACUUUGACGUGGAGAUUAUUUUCCUCGGUCUACAUUAG